GGGAGCAGGUGGAGGAACAGGCUGACAGCUGGGCAGGUGCCUCUUCAGCAGGUCUCUGUGAGUUUCUACUGUGGACUUUGCAGUGAGAUGGCCCCAGAGCCCCAUGAAACCUGUAAAGGAGUCUAGAGCCCUAAGUUGCUUCUCUCAAAGGUCCUGCUGAUUUCCUGAUUAAAAGAUUAAAAGAGCCGGGCACAGUGGCUCAUGCCUGUACUCCCAGCUGUUUGCAAGGCCGAGGCAGGCAGAUCACCUGAGGUCAGGAGUUCGAGACCAGCUUGGACAACAUGGUGAAACCCCGUCUCUACUAAAAAUACAAAAAUUAGCUGGGCGUGGUGAUGUGUGCCUGUAAUCCCAGCUAUUCCGGAGGCUGAGGCAGGAGAAUUGCUUGAACCCAGGAGGCAGAGGUUGCAGUGAGGCGAGGUUGUGCCAUCACACUCCAGCGUGGGAACAAGAGCGAGACUUUGUCACACACACACGUACACGAAGAGUAAAAGUGAAUCAUUCCCAAAAAGAAUAGAUUUGGAUAUUUUCUCAGAAAUUUUCUCUUCCAAACCUGUAGCUGUUUACAGGUCCCCAUUACAUAAGGUGGCUUUUGAUCACUUUCAAUGCAAUGUACUUUCUGAUAUGUGAUAUGGAUUUAAAAUAACUCACAACCAACUUAUUAUAAGAAUGCACUCUCCUUUAGGACAUGGACAUUUGAGGAACCACCUCUGAGCUCAGUAUUUUAGCCUGAAUCUACCUUCAAAUCUAAAAAGAUUAUCGUAUAUUUUUGAGCCCAAAAUAGGACGAAAAGUGUUGGAUUUCUUGCCAGUGUUUUAGUCUUCUUUUCGUCCUGGCUUAGAGCUUUACUGUGGCAUAACUGGUGCACAGUAAACUGCACAUCUUUAAAACCUACACGGUGAGGAGUUCUGACUUAUCUCCACACCAGCGAGACUUAGACCACAGUCAGAAAAACGAGGCUCCUAUCACCCCAGAGUUCUCCGUCACUCGCUCUCCGCGAGCCCCUUGCCAGGAAGAGCUGCUUCCUGGCAUUAUAGAUGUGUCUGCAUCUUCUUGAAUUGUGCAACAUGGAAUCAUACAGUGCCUGCUGUUCUGCUGCCAGCUGUUCUUGCUCAGUGUGAUGUGUUCGAGAUUCAGCAACACAGGACGCAUCAGCAGCUGCUGCCCUUUCAUUGCCGAGCCCUCCUCCAUUGCACCAAUACAUCCUGAUUGGUCUAGCCAUUGACUUGCUGGUGGAUAUCUAGGUCGUUUCUAGGUGUUAGUUGUCACAAAUAAAGCUACAAUAAAUAUUAGUGUGCACGUAUGUUUAUUGCGGC
rnacentral:lncRNA from 10 species